rnacentral:rRNA from 1 species
UAUGAGAGUUUGAUCCUGGCUCAGGACGAACGCUGGCGGCGUGCCUAAUACAUGCAAGUCGAACGCUUCUUUUCCCACUGGAGCUUGCUCCACCGGGAAAAGAGGAGUGGCGAACGGGUGAGUAACACGUGGGUAACCUGCCCAUCAGAAGGGGAUAACACUUGGAAACAGGUGCUAAUACCGUAUAACAAUCGAAACCGCAUGGUUUCGUUUUGAAAGGCGCUUUACGGUGCCGCUGAUGGAUGGACCCGCGGUGCAUUAGCUAGUUGGUGAGGUAACGGCUCACCAAGGCCACGAUGCAUAGCCGACCUGAGAGGGUGAUCGGCCACAUUGGGACUGAGACACGGCCCAAACUCCUACGGGAGGCAGCAGUAGGGAAUCUUCGGCAAUGGACGAAAGUCUGACCGAGCAACGCCGCGUGAGUGAAGAAGGUUUUCGGAUCGUAAAACUCUGUUGUUAGAGAAGAACAAGGGUGAGAGUAACUGUUCACCCCUUGACGGUAUCUAACCAGAAAGCCACGGCUAACUACGUGCCAGCAGCCGCGGUAAUACGUAGGUGGCAAGCGUUGUCCGGAUUUAUUGGGCGUAAAGCGAGCGCAGGCGGUUUCUUAAGUCUGAUGUGAAAGCCCCCGGCUCAACCGGGGAGGGUCAUUGGAAACUGGGAGACUUGAGUGCAGAAGAGGAGAGUGGAAUUCCAUGUGUAGCGGUGAAAUGCGUAGAUAUAUGGAGGAACACCAGUGGCGAAGGCGGCUCUCUGGUCUGUAACUGACGCUGAGGCUCGAAAGCGUGGGGAGCAAACAGGAUUAGAUACCCUGGUAGUCCACGCCGUAAACGAUGAGUGCUAAGUGUUGGAGGGUUUCCGCCCUUCAGUGCUGCAGCUAACGCAUUAAGCACUCCGCCUGGGGAGUACGACCGCAAGGUUGAAACUCAAAGGAAUUGACGGGGGCCCGCACAAGCGGUGGAGCAUGUGGUUUAAUUCGAAGCAACGCGAAGAACCUUACCAGGUCUUGACAUCCUUUGACCACUCUAGAGAUAGAGCUUCCCCUUCGGGGGCAAAGUGACAGGUGGUGCAUGGUUGUCGUCAGCUCGUGUCGUGAGAUGUUGGGUUAAGUCCCGCAACGAGCGCAACCCUUAUUGUUAGUUGCCAUCAUUUAGUUGGGCACUCUAGCAAGACUGCCGGUGACAAACCGGAGGAAGGUGGGGAUGACGUCAAAUCAUCAUGCCCCUUAUGACCUGGGCUACACACGUGCUACAAUGGGAAGUACAACGAGUCGCGAAGUCGCGAGGCUAAGCUAAUCUCUUAAAGCUUCUCUCAGUUCGGAUUGUAGGCUGCAACUCGCCUACAUGAAGCCGGAAUCGCUAGUAAUCGCGGAUCAGCACGCCGCGGUGAAUACGUUCCCGGGCCUUGUACACACCGCCCGUCACACCACGAGAGUUUGUAACACCCGAAGUCGGUGAGGUAACCUUUUUGGAGCCAGCCGCCUAAGGUGGGAUAGAUGAUUGGGGUGAAGUCGUAACAAGGUAGCCGUAUCGGAAGGUGCGGCUGGAUCACCUCCUUUCUAAGGAA